GGCGAACGGGUGAGUAAUAUAUCGGAACGUGCCCAGUAAUGGGGAAUAACUAAUUGAAAGAUUAGCUAAUACCGCAUACGACCUACGGGUGAAAGCAGGGGAUCUUCGGACCUUGCGUUAUUGGAGCGGCCGAUAUCUGAUUAGCUAGUUGGUAGGGUAAAAGCCUACCAAGGCGACGAUCAGUAGCUGGUCUGAGAGGACGAUCAGCCACACUGGAACUGAGACACGGUCCAGACUCCUACGGGAGGCAGCAGUGGGGAAUUUUGGACAAUGGGGGAAACCCUGAUCCAGCCAUCCCGCGUGAGUGAAGAAGGCCUUCGGGUUGUAAAGCUCUUUCGGAAGUGAAGAAAACUUAUUUCGUAAUAUGUUAUAAGAAUGACGGUAACUUUAGAAGAAGCACCGGCUAACUACGUGCCAGCAGCCGCGGUAAUACGUAGGGUGCGAGCGUUAAUCGGAAUUACUGGGCGUAAAGCGUGC
rnacentral:rRNA from 1 species